GACGAACGCUGGCGGCGUGCUUAACACAUGCAAGUCGAACGGAAAGGCCCUGCUAUUGUGGGGUGCUAGAGUGGCGAACGGGUGAGUAACAAGUGAGUAACCUGCCCUUGACUUUGGGAUAACUUCAGGAAACUGGGGCUAAUACCGGAUAGGAGCUCCUGCUGCAUGGUGGGGGUUGGAAAGUUUCGGCGGUUGGAGAUGGACAUGCGGCUCAUCAGUUUGUUGGUGGGGUAGUGGCUUACCAAGGCUUUGACGGGUAGCCGGCCUGAGCGGGUGAACGGCCACAUGGGGACUGAGAUACGGCCCAGGCUCCUACGGGAGGCAACGGUGGGGAAUAGUGCACAAUGGGCGGAAGUCUGAUGCAGCAACGCCGCGUGCGGGAUGACGGCCUGCGGGUUGUAAACCGCUUUCGCCUGUGACGAAGCGUGAGUGACGGUAAUGGGUAAAGAAGCACCGGCUAACUACGUG
rnacentral:rRNA from 1 species